ACGAAGUCCAGCAUCAGGGAGCUUAGCCCAUGCGCACCGGCCACACGAGCAACAACUCGUCCACCUCAAUUCGAGGUACUACUAGGCCCACAGGCCAAACUUGGCCUCAACCAACCGCUCUCUCAACAGUGAUUCUACUUUCACUGUUCGAUCUACCGAAACAAUAUCCGAGAUGCUCAGGCCGCUCAGGUAUUCGCAACGUCACGGCGCAACUCUCGCAAUUCGAUACUCAUUGCCUUGAGAGUCGCUCCACCAUUUCAUGUUCACUACGAGUCCCAUUCUUCGUCCAAGAACCAUCCCUAGCGAUUUGCUAGUACCACUUGGCUCUCUACCUGCUCCAGCAGGCGUUACACUCUCAUGAUGCAAGCAUGCUCAGGUGCCUACCGACCCGUCCACUCGGUCCCUACUAUGCAAUAUGUAAUUAGUAGGUGCUGCUCAUAUAAUAAAUGCAUGCAAUGCAUCAACUCGAGAUUACGCAAAAGCAUAUGCUUAUUUAAUUAACUCAUACCUGCUACGGCAUCAUCGGUGGCAGCAGGUCCAUCAACCUGGGUCGCAUAUCCCUGGCCACUUGGUGCUCGCCGCGAACCCUCCGGUUGCAUCGUCCUCAACGGCCGCUCCCCCGACCAUGCCGCAGGUGGCACACCUGCAGGCUGUCCCAGAGAGGAAUGGGCCGUCGCCGGCAUCAAGGCCUGGCUCUCACCUUGCGGGCACUCGUCCCGCAUAUGGCCGGGCUGUCCACAACGGAUACACCGUCCAUCACGCAGCGCACAUCGCCGCGCC
rnacentral:lncRNA from 1 species